rnacentral:tRNA from 1 species
GCCCGAGUAGCUCACCCGGCCAGAGCACCCGCCUUGUAAGCGGGAGGUAGCGAGUUCGAGUCUCGCCUCGGGCU